rnacentral:rRNA from 1 species
GGAAUAUUGGGCAAUGCCCGCAAGGGUGACCCAGCAACGCCGCGUGGAGGAUGAAUGUCGUAGGAUUGUAAACUCCUGUUAGAGGGGAAGAAUAGUACCGGUUGGACCGGUAUAUGACUGUGCUCUCAGAGAGAGCCCCGGCUAGCUACGUGCCAGCAGCCGAGGUAAUACGGAGGGGGCAAGCGUUGACCGGCUUUACGGGGUGUAAAGGGGGCGCAGGCGGGAUAAAAAGUCAGUGGUGAAAUCCUACAGCUUAACUGUAGAACUGCCUUUGAUACUUUUAUUCUUGAGUGCGGGAGAGAGAGACGGAAUUCCAGGUGUAGUGGUGAAAUACGUAGAUAUCUGGAAGAACACCAGUUGCGAAGGCGGUCUCUUGGUCCGACACUGACGCUGAGGCGCGAAAGCGUGGGGAGCAAACA